rnacentral:rRNA from 1 species
CCUACGGGAGGCAGCAGUGAGGAAUAUUGGUCAAUGGCCGGAAGGCUGAACCAGCCAUGCCGCGUGAAGGUCAGUGCCCUAUGGGCGUUAAACUUCUUUUGUGCGGGAGCAAUAAUGGUCACGUGUGGCCAGACGAGAGUACCGUACGAAUAAGCAUCGGCUAACUCCGUGCCAGCAGCCGCGGUAAUACGGGGGAUGCAAGCGUUAUCCGGAUUUAUUGGGUGUAAAGGGUGCGUAGGCUGUGAGGUAAGUCAGCGGUGAAAUGCCCCCGCUCAACGGGGUGAAGUGCCAUUGAUACUGGCUGGCUGGAAUGCGGAUGCCGUGGGAGGAAUGUGUGGUGUAGCGGUGAAAUGCAUAGAUAUCACACAGAACACCGAUUGCGAAGGCAUCUCACGAAUCCGAGAUUGACGCUGAUGCACGAAAGCGUGGGUAUCAAACAGGAUUAGAUACCCUUGUAGUC